AGGGCCAGGAUCAGCUGUGCUACAGCCCCAUGGAGCCUGCCCAUCCCGGUCACUGCCCUAUUCCGCUUUAAAGACAGACAGCUGGAUGUGCUUCAGACUUUGUGGCAGCUGGAGGCCAUGACUGUCACUGGAGACUAGCUUCACCUACAAAGAAAGGCAAAGCAUUUGAUGAAAACAGGGUAGUGGAACACAACACCCAGUGGUUCUCUUCUCCUGUGACCACAGAGGCACAGACAUGGCUGCUGGCCUUCAGUGUCCUGCCACUGUAAACAGGAAGAACCUACGGAGGUGCAACUGGGAAUACACAACAGUUCUGCCCACCGACACCUGCAGCAGGACAAAGCCAGGCUUUCCUGAAGACUAAACAGAAUGUCUACAUGCCUAUCUAGUGUGAAAUCUCUCUGCAGAGUUACCAAAGCAACAAGGCUGACAGUAAUAGCCUCAGCUUCCCUGCUUUAAUAAGAUCACACCACAGCCUCAGGCACAGCUUCACAACAUGGACUGACACAGGAUAUAAGAAAGAAUGACUCUGUGUGUGUGUGUUUGUGUGUAUAUGUGUGUGUGUAUGACUGUCUGAACACUGAAUAUAUACCACAUUAAAAACGAAAGCCCUGUACUAAUCUACUCCUCCACUCCAAUACAAGAUUAAAAUAAACAGAGCACUUCUUGGGAUAUGAUGGUUUCAUUACUCAUAUACUCCAUGUGUCUUUGCAGUUAGGCAAGACUCAUAGACCAGUGGAAGAAACAGUGUGGCCAGGGCUCAAACCAUUUGGCAAAACCUAAAAGAGACAUAUGCUGAUGUGUAAGUUAAUGUGAGCCUGUGGCUCUGAUACCUAAUAUAUUUCUCUAUGCUGUGAUUGUUAUUAUUCAAGACAAGGUCUCACUCUAUAGCCUAGGGCUGACCUGGAACUUGCCAAGGCUGGCCUUGCAGGUGUGAGCCAACAUACCCAGCCUUUUCUCUGUAUCAUUAAGAAAAUUACAUAGAACUACCUCAAGUUGGCAUGCUCAAGAACAAGAGGAGUAACCAUGAUUCCUAGUUCCUAUUCAGAUGGUUGCAGACACUCCACUCCAAGCACAGGUUAAUCAGUGGUAUAUAACUGAUAGGAACAGCCAUUUCGCUGGUGCUUUGCACUAGGCAAUCAGAAGGUGUUCACAGGUUCUCCUUCCCUUAGUGGCUACAAAACAGCUGUGAAGCAUACUGUCCCUCCUUUUCAGAUGACAUUCAGAGAGGUCAGUCAGUGAGACAAUAGGUUUUUGUUUUGUUGUUAUUUUUUUCCUGGUGCUUUCCCACUGAGCUCCUACCUAGACCCAAGAACCAGGAUUAAUAAAUGAGGUCAUUGGCUUCUC
ensembl:lincRNA Gm26856 predicted gene, 26856